CUCUUGUACACAUCUUCCCAAGAUUUCCUCCAAAAUUCCAGUUUUUGAUGGAGGUUUUCUUAGUUGACAAGAGGGUGGUGUCAAAACUGUUAAGUUUCCUUUUUCAUUUCUUU